UACAGAGGUGGCAAGCGUUGUUCGGAAUUAUUGGGCGUAAAGAGCUCGUAGGCGGUUUGUCGCGUCUGCUGUGAAAACCCGAGGCUCAACCUCGGGCCUGCAGUGGGUACGGGCAGACUAGAGUGCGGUAGGGGAGAUUGGAAUUCCUGGUGUAGCGGUGGAAUGCGCAGAUAUCAGGAGGAACACCAAUGGCGAAGGCAGAUCUCUGGGCCGUAACUGACGCUGAGGAGCGAAAGCAUGGGGAGCGAACAGG
rnacentral:rRNA from 1 species